AUGAUUUCACAGAAUCAUCUGAUCUGGCUCCUUGUGCUCUGGAUUCAAGAUGCCAAGGGGCAGAUUGUGCUGACUCAGACUCCGGAAUCCCUGGCAGUGUCUCCAGGAGACAGAGUCACCAUCAACUGCAAAGCCAGUUCCAGUGUUAGCAACAGCUACAUGCACUGGUACCAACAGAAAUCAGGACACGCUCCUAAACUCCUUAUCUACAGCACUUCCACCCGUCCCUCUGGGAUCCCAGACCGGUUCAGUGGCAGUGGGUCUGGCACCGACUUCACUUUUACAAUCAGCCGGGUAGAAGCUGAUGAUGCUGGAGAUUAUUAUUGUCAACAAGCUCAUAGCUUACCUCUCACAGUGAUACAGAGCAAUGCAAAAACCUCCCUGCUUUCUUCAGCUUCAGUUCCUCACUGUAACAGCUGUUUUCCUGCAGCGAGUCAAAGUAUCACACCAACUGCUGUGUCUCAGAGUAGAGAAGUGUCUGUCAAUUUCAGGCACCUCACCCCAUUGUCCAUUCCUUCCUGUCAUUUCUACAGAUCCCUCAUCAAAGUAGCACAAAGGCUGGAAUUUACAGGGUGCUACAUUAAUAUACAUUCAGCAGCUUCCUUUUAA